GACGAACGCUGGCGGCGUGCUUAACACAUGCAAGUCGAACGGAAAGGCCCUGCUUUUGUGGGGUGCUCGAGUGGCGAACGGGUGAGUAACACGUGAGUAACCUGCCCUUGACUUUGGGAUAACUUCAGGAAACUGGGGCUAAUACCGGAUCGGAGCUCCUGCUGCAUGGUGGGGGUUGGAAAGUUUCGGCGGUUGGGGAUGGACUCGCGGCUUAUCAGCUUGUUGGUGGGGUAGUGGCUUACCAAGGCUUUGACGGGUAGCCGGCCUGAGAGGGUGACCGGGCACAAGGGGACUGAGAGACGGCCCAGACUCCUACGGGAGGCAGCAGUGGGGAAUAUGGCACAAUGGGCGGAAGCCUGAUGCAGAAACGCCGCGUGCGGGAUGACGGCCUUCGGGUUGUAAACCGCUUUCGCCUGAGACGAAGCGGGAGUGACGGUAAUGGGUAAAGAAGCACCGGCUAACUACGUG
rnacentral:rRNA from 1 species